rnacentral:rRNA from 1 species
UAAAGAAUCGCCCCGUUUUUUGAAAUGGGUUCUAUUCCCAAACCGUGUAUACAUACCUUUGUUGCUUUGGCAGGCCGCCUUUUAGGCGUCGGCUCCGGCUGACUGCGCCUGCCAGAGGACCCAAACUCGUUUGUUUAGUGAUGUCCGAGUACUAUAUAAUAGUUAAAACUUUCAACAACGGAUCUCUUGGUUCUGGCAUCGAUGAAGAACGCAGCGAAAUGCGAUAAGUAAUGUGAAUUGCAGAAUUCAGUGAAUCAUCGAAUCUUUGAACGCACAUUGCGCCCCUUGGUAUUCCGAGGGGCAUGCCUGUUCGAGCGUCAUUAUAACCACUCAAGCCUCGGCUUGGUCUUGGGGUUCGCGGUCCCGCGGCCCUUAAAAUCAGUGGCGGUGCCGUCUGGCUCUAAGCGUAGUAAUUCUCUCGCUAUAGGGUCCCGGCGGUUGCCUGCCAGAACCCCCCAUUUUUUACGGUUGACCUCGGAUCAGGUAG